rnacentral:rRNA from 1 species
AGUGAACGCUGGCGGUAGGCCUAACACAUGCAAGUCGAACGGCAGCACAGUAAGAGCUUGCUCUUACGGGUGGCGCGUGGCGGACGGGUGAGGAAUACAUCGGAAUCUACUUUUUCGUGUGGGCUAACGUAGGGAAACUUACGCUAAUACCGCAUACGACCUACGGGUGAAAGCAGGGGAUCUUCUGACCUUGCGCGAUUGAAUGAGCCGAUGUCGGAUUAGCUAGUUGGCGGGGUAAAGGCCCACCAAGGCGACGAUCCGUAGCUGGUCUGAGCGGAAGAACAGCCACACUGGAUCUGAGACACGGUACCGACUCCUACGGGAGGCAGCAGCGGGAAAUAUUGGGCGAGGGGCGAGAGCCUAAUCCUGCCAAACCGGGUGGGGGAAGAAGGAGUUCGGGUUGUAGAGCCAUGUUGUUGGGAGGGAAAAGAAAUAGUUUAAUACCCGGCUGUUCUGACGGUACCCAAAGAAGAAGCACCGGCUAACUUCGUG